UGAAAUGUUGGCCACCAGAUGGCUGGUUUUGUUUACUUGGUCCUGUCGUCUGUGUUCUUGCAUGGUUUCUGUUUUUAAAAAUUGUUAUUCUUAUCUGUUUCUAGGAAUAUGGAAACAAAUAGUUAGGGAUUUGAAAUGUGCUUGUGAAUUUGAAUAAAAGUGUUGGGAUUGAAAAAUAAGUGCUGAGGACCGCAAGGAUAAACCGACUGCCUGAUUUUGUUUGCAAACCAGAAGCCAAUUCUUUCGACCCGAGGACCAAUCGGGUAGCCCCAGUUUGACAGAUGUUCCAAUUGUUCCGUGUUCCAGCGCAGAAGGAGGAGGAGCUUCUGGUAGUAAACACAAUCUUCCUUGUGUUACAGGAAAUAAUGGCGGGAAUAUGUUUUACAGCUGCCCUUCCGAUUGGUUUAAAAUGAUCUCACUCCGAUCCUGGAACCGCGUUCACUAACUCUACACCUUAACAUGUCUGGCCGUGGCAAAGGAGGCAAAGUCAAGGGAAAGUCAAAGACCCGUUCCAGCAGGGCCGGACUUCAAUUCCCCGUCGGUCGUAUCCACCGAAUGCUCCGCAAGGGAUCGUACGCUGAGCGCGUCGGUGCCGGUGCUCCCGUCUACUUGGCUGCCGUCAUGGAGUACUUGGCCGCUGAGGUCCUCGAGUUGGCCGGUAACGCCGCCCGUGACAACAAGAAGACCCGCAUCAUCCCUCGUCACUUGCAAUUGGCCAUCCGCAACGACGAAGAGUUAAACAAACUUCUCUCCGGUGUCACCAUCGCUCAGGGUGGUGUCUUGCCCAACAUCCAGGCUGUUCUCUUGCCCAAGAAGACCGACAAACCCGCCAAGGCUUAAACUUAUCCCGUCCUUAAAUAAACGGCCCUUUUCAGGGCCACCAAUUUAUUGUUGAAAAAAAGAAUUUGCUUAGUGCUACAUUUCGUACAUUUCAAUCUGGUUUUGGCAAUGAUUACUUGCGCAAAUUUUCUGAUUUAUCGCAAGGUGGCACUCUUGAAUUGUUUUAAUUCAACUUAAUUCGUCUGCUGGUAUUUCGUUUGUCCAACUGUGAGAGAAAAACAUUUCUCAUGAUAUUUCGAUGAAAUGGAUGUAUUUUACAUGUUAUUUUCGUAUAAAUUCAUUUGUUUCUUUUCUGUUCUUUUUAGUUAACUCUUCUCUUUUUUUCUGAUCCACCUUGUUCAAAUUCAUGCAACCUUGCCCACUCCCCCUCAAUUUCAGUCCAAAAUAUUCAAAAUGGUCGCCGCCUGGAUUGCUGGUGCUGAUGGAAUGGAAUUCUUAUCUCAGUGAUUUGGUAAUAUCUUCAACUUAAGGUUUCGUGUGUCAUGGGUGCUUGUGACAAUAGAGAUGAAAUUGUCCAUUUCAAGCCGUGUCUUACAAAACUAAGGAAAUUCUAUUUGCAAGAAAACCUUUCUGACAAAACAUGGUUUUCCAGUCGUUGCUGGAUGGAUUGUUUUGAGGUUAGUUCCCAUGUCUAAAGACCAAUCCUAGCCUACACCUCACCAAGAGGAUUCUUUCGACAUAUGUGUGUUGAUCCUUUGUAUGCAGAGAGUUCAACCUACAGACGGGCCGGCAAGUUUGCAUGUCCUUCACGCUUGAAGGUCGCGGGAAACAUAACGAGUAUUACUGUCAAUGCGGUGUUGUAGAGUUUGGGUGAGAAUUAAUUGGAAGUGUUGCAUCAUUAUCAAGCAGGUACAAUAGCCGCAAGGCUCAGCCAUUUGGUAUUUAUUUUGAUAUUGG